rnacentral:rRNA from 1 species
UACGGAGGGUGCAAGCGUUAAUCGGAAUUACUGGGCGUAAAGCGUGCGCAGGCGGUUUGUUAAGUCUGCUGUGAAAUCCCCGAGCUCAACUUGGGAAUUGCAGUGGAUACUGGCAGGCUGGAGUAUGGUAGAGGAAGGUGGAAUUCCCGGUGUAGCAGUGAAAUGCGUGGAGAUCGGGAGGAACACCAGUGGCGAAGGCGGCCUUCUGGACCAAUACUGACGCUCAUGCACGAAAGCGUGGGGAGCAAACAGG